GAUGAACGCUGGCGGCGUGCCUAAUACAUGCAAGUCGAGCGAAUGGAUUAAGAGCUUGCUCUUAUGAAGUUAGCGGCGGACGGGUGAGUAACACGUGGGUAACCUGCCCAUAAGACUGGGAUAACUCCGGGAAACCGGGGCUAAUACCGGAUAACAUUUUGAACCGCAUGGUUCGAAAUUGAAAGGCGGCUUCGGCUGUCACUUAUGGAUGGACCCGCGUCGCAUUAGCUAGUUGGUGAGGUAACGGCUCACCAAGGCAACGAUGCGUAGCCGCCCUGAGAGGGUGAUCGGCCACACUGGGACUGAGACACGGCCCAGACUCCUACGGGAGGUAGCAGUAGGGAAUCUUCCGCAAUGGACGAAAGUCUGACGGAGCAACGCCGCGUGAGUGAUGAAGGCUUUCGGGUCGUAAAACUCUGUUGUUAGGGAAGAACAAGUGCUAGUUGAAUAAGCUGGCACCUUAACGGUACCUAACCAGAAAGCCACGGCUAACUACGUGCCAGCAGCCGCCGUAA
rnacentral:rRNA from 1 species